rnacentral:rRNA from 1 species
UACGUAGGGGGGCAGCUAGUUCGUUCGGAUCCGAAUUCGGUGGCGUAAAGCGCGCUGUAGGCGGCCCGGAAAGUCCGCUGUGAAAGUCAAAGGCUCAACCUUUGAAUGUCAGCGGAUACUGCCGGGCUAGAGUCCGGAAGAGGAGAGUGGAAUUCCUGGUGUAGCGGUGAAAUGCGCAGAUAUCAGGAGGAACACCAGUGGCGAAGGCGGCUCACUGGACAGGUCCUGACACUGAGACGCGAAAGCGUGGGUAGCAACAGG